ACGUAGGAGGCGAGCGUUAUCCGGAUUUACUGGGCGUAAAGCGUGUGCAGGCGGUUGAGAAAGUUGGAUGUGAAAGCUCCUGGCUUAACUGGGAGAGGUCGUUCAAAACUACUUGACUAGAGAGUGGGAGAGGGAGGUGGAAUUCCGGGUGUAGUGGUGAAAUGCGUAGAUAUCCGGAGGAACACCAGUGGCGAAAGCGGCCUCCUGGCCCAUUUCUGACGCUCAUACACGAAAGCUAGGGGAGCGAACGGGAUUAGAGACCCCGGUAGUCCUAGCUGUAAACGAUGUGAACUUGGCGUCGGAGGGUUUAAAUCCUUCGGUGCCGAAGCUAACGCGAUAAGUUCACCGCCUGGGGACUACGGCCGCAAGGUUA
rnacentral:rRNA from 1 species